rnacentral:tRNA from 1 species
GUUAUUGUAGCUUAAUACAAAGCCUGACAUUGAAGCUGUCAAGAUGGUCUCUCACUUCCCAAUAGCA